UAGCUCAGCUGGUUAGAGCACCUGCAUCACACGCAGGGGGUCUGGGGUUCGAGUCCCUAA
rnacentral:tRNA from 1 species